rnacentral:rRNA from 1 species
UUAAGCGACUAAGCGUACACGGUGGAUGCCCUGGCAGUCAGAGGCGAUGAAGGACGUGCUAAUCUGCGAUAAGCGCCGGUAAGGUGAUAUGAACCGUUAUAACCGGCGAUUUCCGAAUGGGGAAACCCAGUGUGACUCGUCACACUAUCAUUAACUGAAUCCAUAGGUUAAUGAGGCGAACCGGGGGAACUGAAACAUCUAAGUACCCCGAGGAAAAGAAAUCAACCGAGAUUCCCCCAGUAGCGGCGAGCGAACGGGGAGGAGCCCAGAGCCUGAAUCAGCAUGUGUGUUAGUGGAAGCGUCUGGAAAGGCGCGCGAUACAGGGUGACAGCCCCGUACACAAAAGCGCAUAUGCUGUGAGCUCGAUGAGUAGGGCGGGACACGUGGUAUCCUGUCUGAAUAUGGGGGGACCAUCCUCCAAGGCUAAAUACUCCUGACUGACCGAUAGUGAACCAGUACCGUGAGGGAAAGGCGAAAAGAACCCCGGCGAGGGGAGUGAAAAAGAACCUGAAACCGUGUACGUACAAGCAGUGGGAGCACCCUUUUGGGUGUGACUGCGUACCUUUUGUAUAAUGGGUCAGCGACUUAUAUUCUGUAGCAAGGUUAACCGAAUAGGGGAGCCGGAGGGAAACCGAGUCUUAAUUGGGCGUUAAGUUGCAGGGUAUAGACCCGAAACCCGGUGAUCUAGCCAUGGGCAGGUUGAAGGUUGGGUAACACUAACUGGAGGACCGAACCGACUAAUGUUGAAAAAUUAGCGGAUGACCUGUGGCUGGGGGUGAAAGGCCAAUCAAACCGGGAGAUAGCUGGUUCUCCCCGAAAGCUAUUUAGGUAGCGCCUCGUGAAUUCAUCUCCGGGGGUAGAGCACUGUUUCGGCUAGGGGGCCAUCCCGGCUUACCAACCCGAUGCAAACUGCGAAUACCGGAGAAUGUUAUCACGGGAGACACACGGCGGGUGCUAACGUCCGUCGUGAAGAGGGAAACAACCCAGACCGCCAGCUAAGGUCCCAAAGUCAUGGUUAAGUGGGAAACGAUGUGGGAAGGCCCAGACAGCCAGGAUGUUGGCUUAGAAGCAGCCAUCAUUUAAAGAAAGCGUAAUAGCUCACUGGUCGAGUCGGCCUGCGCGGAAGAUGUAACGGGGCUAAACCAUGCACCGAAGCUGCGGCAGCGACACUGUGUGUUGUUGGGUAGGGGAGCGUUCUGUAAGCCUGCGAAGGUGGCCUGUGAGGGUUGCUGGAGGUAUCAGAAGUGCGAAUGCUGACAUAAGUAACGAUAAAGCGGGUGAAAAGCCCGCUCGCCGGAAGACCAAGGGUUCCUGUCCAACGUUAAUCGGGGCAGGGUGAGUCGACCCCUAAGGCGAGGCCGAAAGGCGUAGUCGAUGGGAAACGGGUUAAUAUUCCCGUACUUGGUGUUACUGCGAAGGGGGGACGGAGAAGGCUAUGUUGGCCGGGCGACGGUUGUCCCGGUUUAAGCGUGUAGGUGUGUGUUCCAGGUAAAUCCGGUUCACUUUAACACUGAGGCGUGAUGACGAGGCACUACGGUGCUGAAGCAACAAAUGCCCUGCUUCCAGGAAAAGCCUCUAAGCAUCAGGUAACAUCAAAUCGUACCCCAAACCGACACAGGUGGUCAGGUAGAGAAUACCAAGGCGCUUGAGAGAACUCGGGUGAAGGAACUAGGCAAAAUGGUGCCGUAACUUCGGGAGAAGGCACGCUGACAUGUAGGUGAAGUGAUUUACUCAUGGAGCUGAAGUCAGUCGAAGAUACCAGCUGGCUGCAACUGUUUAUUAAAAACACAGCACUGUGCAAACACGAAAGUGGACGUAUACGGUGUGACGCCUGCCCGGUGCCGGAAGGUUAAUUGAUGGGGUCAGCGCAAGCGAAGCUCCUGAUCGAAGCCCCGGUAAACGGCGGCCGUAACUAUAACGGUCCUAAGGUAGCGAAAUUCCUUGUCGGGUAAGUUCCGACCUGCACGAAUGGCGUAAUGAUGGCCAGGCUGUCUCCACCCGAGACUCAGUGAAAUUGAACUCGCUGUGAAGAUGCAGUGUACCCGCGGCAAGACGGAAAGACCCCGUGAACCUUUACUAUAGCUUGACACUGAACAUUGAGCCUUGAUGUGUAGGAUAGGUGGGAGGCUUUGAAGUGUGGACGCCAGUCUGCAUGGAGCCGACCUUGAAAUACCACCCUUUAAUGUUUGAUGUUCUAACGUGGACCCGUGAUCCGGGUUGCGGACAGUGUCUGGUGGGUAGUUUGACUGGGGCGGUCUCCUCCUAAAGAGUAACGGAGGAGCACGAAGGUUGGCUAAUCCUGGUCGGACAUCAGGAGGUUAGUGCAAUGGCAUAAGCCAGCUUGACUGCGAGCGUGACGGCGCGAGCAGGUGCGAAAGCAGGUCAUAGUGAUCCGGUGGUUCUGAAUGGAAGGGCCAUCGCUCAACGGAUAAAAGGUACUCCGGGGAUAACAGGCUGAUACCGCCCAAGAGUUCAUAUCGACGGCGGUGUUUGGCACCUCGAUGUCGGCUCAUCACAUCCUGGGGCUGAAGUAGGUCCCAAGGGUAUGGCUGUUCGCCAUUUAAAGUGGUACGCGAGCUGGGUUUAGAACGUCGUGAGACAGUUCGGUCCCUAUCUGCCGUGGGCGCUGGAGAACUGAGGGGGGCUGCUCCUAGUACGAGAGGACCGGAGUGGACGCAUCACUGGUGUUCGGGUUGUCAUGCCAAUGGCACUGCCCGGUAGCUAAAUGCGGAAGAGAUAAGUGCUGAAAGCAUCUAAGCACGAAACUUGCCCCGAGAUGAGUUCUCCCUGAGACUUUAAGUCUCCUGAAGGAACGUUGAAGACGACGACGUUGAUAGGCCGGGUGUGUAAGCGCAGCGAUGCGUUGAGCUAACCGGUACUAAUGAACCGUGAGGCUUAACCUU